rnacentral:rRNA from 1 species
GAUGAACGCUGGCGGCGUGCCUAAUACAUGCAAGUCGAGCGCCCCUUUAAGAGGUGACAAUCCUUAGGAUUGUCGGUUCCUAUGGGGAGCGGCGGACGGCUGAGUAACGCGUGGGAACGUGCCCCAAAGUGAGGGAUAACGCACCGAAAGGUGUGCUAAUACCGCAUAUGAUCUUCGGAUUAAAGAAUUUAUUCGCUUUGGGAGCGGCCUGCGUCCUAUUAGAUAGUUGGUGAGGUAAAGGCUCACCAAGUCAACGAUGGGUAGCUGGUCUGAGAGGAUGACCAGCCAGACUGGAACUGAGACACGGUCCAGACUCCUACGGGAGGCAGCAGUAAGGAAUCUUCCACAAUGGGGGCAACCCUGAUGGAGCAACGCCGCGUGCAGGAUGAAGGCCCUCGGGUCGUAAACUGCUUUUAUGAGUGAAGAAUAUGACGGUAACUCAUGAAUAAGGGUCGGCUAACUACGUGCCAGCAGCCGCGG